UACGAGGACGACGCUGGCGGCGUGCCUAACACAUGCAAGUCGAGCGGAGUUUUUCGGAUUGAGACCUUCGGGAGGAUUUCUGAGAAACUUAGCGGCGGACGGGUGAGUAACGCGUGGGCAAUCUGCCUCUUACAGGGGGAUAACACAGGGAAACCUGUGCUAAUACCGCAUAAAACUGCUCUGUGGCAUCACGGAGUAGCCAAAGGAGCAAUCCGGUGAGAGAGGAGCCCGCGUCUGAUUAGCUAGUUGGUGAGGUAACGGCCCACCAAGGCGACGAUCAGUAGCCGAACUGAGAGGUUGAACGGCCACAUUGGGACUGAGAUACGGCCCAGACUCCUACGGGAGGCAGCAGUCGGGAAUAUUGGGCAAUGGGGGAAACCCUGACCCAGCAACGCCGCGUGGAGGAAGAAGGUUUUCGGAUCGUAAACUCCUGUCCUCAGGGAAGAGCAGAAGACGGUACCUGAGGAGGAAGCCCCGGCUAACUACGUG
rnacentral:rRNA from 1 species